GCAGCAGCUGAAGAGGGAACCAGCAGGGAGGUGAAAGGGCUCACACAGGUUGGGAGAGACGCAGCAGCUGAAGAGGGAACCAGCAGGGGGAGAGGAGCUGAGCUGGAGGGAUGGCUCAGAGACACUUCCAGCGAAAACAGUGGGGAGGUUUCAGGACCUCCUGUAAGAACACCCACUCCUCGCCGGAAACUGUCACGCAGAGAUUCCAGAAGACGUGUUUCCGUUAAGGAGCUUUUAUGUUGGAAGCGAUUACGAAAGCAACCACUGUCGGAAUCUGCUAGUGACUAGAGGAGACAUGUCUGAGG